CAUGCGAUAACCUGUCUGUCCCCGAAUUUGGUUACGUGGCCUGUAACGGUUGGCGACCAGACUUUGGACAAUAUUGUUUGAUUGGCUGCCUGGCGAACCGAACCCUACCACGUGACAUUGAUGGCAGCCAAUGGUAUGCAUGUGGAGCAGGCGGAACCUGGUCUUCAAACCCAGGAAUGAUCCAGUGUGAAGAUAAGGCUGACCCCAUCGGUGCGUCUGGUGGCAUCCUCGGCAGUCCGGAUUCUUGUGAUGACGUCAGUGCCGUAAAAGAACAGUAUAUCUCAUCACUGAAGAAUUCGGAUUUUAACACUGCAUGUCUGAAACACACCGAUCUGUGUGUACCUGCUAAUGUCAACAUUCGAUGUUGAUAGAAAACGGACUUUCAAACAUUGUUAUUAUCAUCUGGAUAGCUCUGGCUUCUUGCCCAAACGUGGUAGGCCCAGUAAAGUCCAGUUGCACUGUCAGAUGUAGAUUUCCUGGAAAAGCAAAGUGAGUCAUGAUGUCCCUUGGCAUAUAAUUUAGAGACCUCAAUGGCGCGUGAAGAAUAUUGAGGAGAUAAUGGACUUGCUCUCCAUAAUAGGGACCGUUCAUAAUUUAUAGUUAGGGCGUGUAUGUACACAAUUGCUGACCCCCCCUAGUAUAUGUGUAUAAAAUUGAUGACCUCACCCCCCCACACACUACCUUCCCAGAAUAAAUGGGCGACCCCCUUAAAACCAUCACGCACGCACGCACGGACACGCACGCACACACACACUAGCCAUAAAUUAUGAACGGUCCCUUACGGUGACGGAUGGUCACAUUCAGCCUUCGAGUUAAACAUAGGCAUUUGCUAAAACUGUCCGGUAAUGAAAAUACGCUGAUAACAAGCACAGGUCAUGGUCGUUUCUUAUCAACGAAAUCUAUUGUCUCAAUUUACACACAUGCUUCUGAAGUAGCCGGAAUAGUGCAACGGACUCUACUUGUAGUUGAGAUGUUUUUUAUGGAAAUUGUUUUGCCGUUUAUAUAAUUAUUCAUAUCUAUGGUACUCUUUGUGAAUAUGAGAUUGUGAUUAUGAUUAUGAUGCCAUAGGGCCGUUUACUUGUGAUCAUUGACAAGAGUGAAUGUAAUAAAUAAUACAAAA